UGGCAUUCUUUUUCGUUUGUCGGCCAUAUUGGAUUUAACAAAUAUUUUCUUGCACUUGCAGCUGAUGGCCAGUAGUUGGCAGUAUAUUUAGUGUCCACUUCAGUGGUCUGUGGGCAUUUAUAACUUAAAAAUCCAUAAGAAAAACAAGAAAAUGGCUUUUAGAUAGCUGUCCUCUGCAGUGACCGCUAUGCAUGAAACAUAAUGCUCAUGUUAGGAAACAUGUAAAAAAUAUAAACAUAUUUUAGAAAAGUUACCUUUUUGGAUUAAAGAAAAUAUUUCCUACAAUACUAACUCAUAACCACAGGUUCUGGUAAGAACCACCGUGUUUUUCUCCAGUGAGAUGAAAACUUCACCAUCACAGCUCCGUCUGCAGCAGAGUUAUCACCUCAUUGGCAACACCUGUCAUCAUUAGCUUCACAUCAACAUGAGCAAAGCUGAGGGAGGCAGCCGUAAUGGACUGGUUCAACUGCUGAUGCAAUAAAUCGAGGAGCCAUGGAGAUGAAACAAGGGAACAUGUUUAUCUUUACAGCUGUGAUUCAUUGGUGCCUCAUGCUCCACGACGCAACGCCAAAUAUGGCCAAAUACCAGCAGAACCCGGAC